UGGUGGAGUGAUUUGUCUGGUUGAUUCCGAUAACGAGCGAGAUCUCUGCCUCCCAAUAUGUCAUUGCGUCGAUUUUUGUAGGGAUUUGCCUGCCUCGGCCACCUGGUUUGUCUCGGCAGGCCAGGUCCGUACAGGCUCCCGAGAUGCAGUGUUGACUUCUCAGAGGUGCCAUGUGUGCCCACACAAGCGCAUGUAUGCAAGAGCCG
rnacentral:rRNA from 1 species